rnacentral:rRNA from 1 species
AGAGUUUGAUCCUGGCUCAGGACGAACGCUGGCGGCGUGCUUAACACAUGCAAGUCGAACGGAAAGGCCCUGCUUGCAGGGUGCUCGAGUGGCGAACGGGUGAGUAACACGUGGGUGAUCUGCCCUGCACUUCGGGGAUAAGCUUGGGAAACUGGGUCUAAUACCGGAUAGGACUCCGAGAUGCAUGUCUUGGGGUGGAAAGCGUUUAGUGGUGUGGGAUGGGCCCGCGGCCUAUCAGCUUGUUGGUGGGGUGAUGGCCUACCAAGGCGACGACGGGUAGCCGGCCUGAGAGGGUGUCCGGCCACACUGGGACUGAGAUACGGCCCAGACUCCUACGGGAGGCAGCAGUGGGGAAUAUUGCACAAUGGGCGCAAGCCUGAUGCAGCGACGCCGCGUGGGGGAUGACGGCCUUCGGGUUGUAAACCUCUUUCACCAUCGACGAAGGCCCGCCUUUGGGUGGGUUGACGGUAGGUGGAGAAGAAGCACCGGCCAACUACGUGCCAGCAGCCGCGGUAAUACGUAGGGUGCGAGCGUUGUCCGGAAUUACUGGGCGUAAAGAGCUCGUAGGUGGUUUGUCGCGUUGUUCGUGAAAUUCCCUGGCUUAACUGGGGGCGUGCGGGCGAUACGGGCAGACUGGAGUACUGCAGGGGAGACUGGAAUUCCUGGUGUAGCGGUGGAAUGCGCAGAUAUCAGGAGGAACACCGGUGGCGAAGGCGGGUCUCUGGGCAGUAACUGACGCUGAGGAGCGAAAGCGUGGGGAGCGAACAGGAUUAGAUACCCCCGUAGUCC